ACCAUGAAGACUGGGCCUGAUGAACCAAGAUUUUGCUGAUAUACUAGGAAAAAGGGGUUGGAGAGACAAGCCCUAUUGGAGGGAAAAAAGUAACAAUAAUCACAGGGCUGAGUAUAUCACCCAACAUUA
rnacentral:snoRNA from 1 species